UUUUUAUUUAAACAUCAUUGCUCAGAUCUGCACAAGUCCUUUGUGUCGCUGCUGCAUCUGACACCUCAAGGCUGAAAGACUAUGGCUGGCUGAUGUGGAGAUCCAAACCCAUGACCUUGGUGUUAUAAGGCUGCACUCUAACCAGCUGAGCUAACCGGCCAGCCCCAGACAUCUAAACAAUGAAGUGCUAUGUGGCUAUAAAAAAGGAUGGUAAAAAACUAGAUAACCUGAUGUAUAAAGAAGUUUGGGGAAGGGAGUGGGAUUUAGAAUCAGGAGUUGAGUAGACAUUUUCCCAAAGAAGAUAUACAAAUGGCCAACAAGCACGUGAAAAGAUGCUCGAUCAUUAGGGAAAUGCAAAUAAAAUCAUAAUGAGAUACCACUUCA